UACAGGGUCAGCCAUAGUAGUAUGAUAGGUGCAGUGAAAUGUGUUGUUUUACAGGGUCAGCCAUAGUAGUAUGAUAGGUGCAGUGAAAUGUGUUGUUUUACAGGGUCAGCCAUAGUAGUAUGAUAGGUGCAGUGAAAUGUGUUGUUUUACAGGGUCAGCCAUAGUAGUAUGAUAGGUGCAGUGAAAUGUGUUGUUUUACAGGGUCAGCCAUAGUAGUAUGAUAGGUGCAGUGUAAUGUGUUGUUUUACAGGGUCAGCCAUAGUAGUAUGAUAGGUGCAGUGAAAUGUGUUGUUUUACAGGGUCAGCCAUAGUGCAGUGAAAUGUGUUGUUUUACAGGGUCAGCCAUAGUAGUAUGAUAGGUGCAGUGUAAUGUGUUGUUUUACAGGGUCAUCCAUAGUAGUAUGAUAGGUGCAGUGUAAUGUGUUGUUUUACAGGGUCAGCCAUAGUAGUAUGAUAGGUGCAGUGAAAUGUGUUGUUUUACAGGGUCAGCCAUAGUAGUAUGAUAGGUGCAGUGUAAUGUGUUGUUUUACAGGGUCAGCCAUAGUAGUAUGAUAGGUGCAGUGUAAUGUGUUGUUUUACAGGGUCAGCCAUAGUAGUAUGGUAGGUGCAGUGUAAUGUGUUGUUUUACAGGGUCAGCCAUAGUAGUAUGAUAGGUGCAGUGAAAUGUGUUGUUUUACAGGGUCAGCCAUAGUAGUAUGAUAGGUGCAGUGAAAUGUGUUGUUUUACAGGGUCAGCCAUAGUAGUAUGAUAGGUGCAGUGUAAUGUGUUGUU